GCUCCCAACGCGACCUCAGGUCAGGCGGGACUACCCGCUGAGUU
rnacentral:rRNA from 1 species